CUAAUGGGGAUAGUCUAAUAAUAAUCAUACUAUUUUAAUCUAGUAUUUAAGUUAUUUUUCAAAAUUAAACACCGAUAAAAUGCAGCAUAUAAAUAAUUGUAGGUGUAGGGAAACCUGCAACACACAUGAAAUAUUUGGGACCACAGAGAAUUUGAUUUGUCUAAAUUUGUUAAUUACUUGGGCCAUACUCUCAUAAUCAUAUCAAUAACUACCACCUAACGAUAUUUACUAGUUUUUACCAAUAUAAAUACUCUUAUGAUUUAAUACUGAAAUUUAUUACUUACGCCCUUAUUUAAAAAAAAAAAAAAAAAACAAAACUUAAUAUUAUUAAUAUUCCAAUAACUGCAACAUGACACAAAAAAGGACAAAGAAAACAACUAUGCGACGCGACAGGUAAAAAAUCAAAGAUGUAUAACGACAUGUCAGGUUGCUUUAUAAUUAAAUAUAGGAAAAUUACACAUUUGUAUCUUAAUUUUGGGUCUUUUAACAAAAAUAAUCCGAACACCCAAAAAAAAAUUAAUACACAAGAUAUCUUUUCUUUUUUUUACUAUGAAAGAAAAAAAAAAUCCCGGAGUAGGAAUGUUUUUCCUUUUUCUUUU
rnacentral:lncRNA from 1 species